UACGUAGGGGGCUAGCGUUGUCCGGAUUUAUUGGGCGUAAAGAGCGCGCAGGCGGUCGUUCAAGUCGCGUGUGAAAGCCCCCGGCUCAACUGGGGAGGGUCACGCGAUACUGAUCGACUCGAAGGCAGGAGAGGGUAGUGGAAUUCCCGGUGUAGUGGUGAAAUGCGCAGAUAUCGGGAGGAACACCAGUGGCGAAGGCGACUACCUGGCCUGUUCUUGACGCUGAGGCGCGAAAGCUAGGGGAGCAAACGGG
rnacentral:rRNA from 1 species